CACGUAGGGCGCAAGCGUUGUCCGGAAUUAUUGGGCGUAAAGAGCUCGUAGGCGGUCUGUUGCGUCCGCUGUGAAAACUCGGGGCUUAACCCCGAGCCUGCAGUGGAUACGGGCAGACUAGAGGUAGGUAGGGGAGAAUGGAAUUCCCGGUGUAGCGGUGAAAUGCGCAGAUAUCAGGAGGAACACCGAUGGCGAAGGCAGGUCUCUGGGCAUUAACUGACGCUGAGGAGCGAAAGCAUGGGGAGCGAACAGG
rnacentral:rRNA from 1 species